rnacentral:lncRNA from 1 species
GGUACCUCAAACCUCCCAGGUCUUCCUCGUUCUCCUCUGGUAUUUCUUUCAAUUUUCCACAAAUUUUUGACUCCUAUAUCAUGACAUAUAGGGCAGCCUCCUUUUAUAUGGCAGACUAGGUCAUAAGACCUUGUCUAACAUGGAGUCCUUGGGGCAUCCAACUCUUGGACGCCCCCUAUCUCAUUUAUUUCAUGGAUAGCAUGAAAAUAACCACAAGAGGGGUAACAAAAAGGAGGAUAAACAUGGGGAAUGUUGGUGCAAGAGAGGGAGGGAAGAGUCCUUGUGAAGAGGGACUCUUUCAAAAAGAGAAAUAGGCUAAACCACUUUCCACAAUGAACCAAAUUAAUUUUCAUAUUGAACC